AAAUUUACACAUUUCAUAACCGAAAAUAAGUUUAGAUAUCUAAAACAUUCAUUUAAAGUGAAAUUAUAGCUAAUGGAAUAAAAUAAAAAUAAUGAAUAAAAUAUUCCAUUUUUUCAUAAAACAAUUUUUAUAGAAUGCUACGUAAAUAAUUUUUACAGCGUAAAAGCAAAAUAAAUUCCUACAUACAGUAGCACACGCAGCCAAGUAUUCAAAACAUUUAUCAAUGACAUGUGGGCCCCCGAAUUACUAAAAGUAAUGAAGGCUGUGAACCUACAGUUUUUGAGGAUGCAAGUCCAACUGUAGCCCUCAACGAAAUGAGCUAUCUACCGACUAUCUUAAGCCUGAAAUGGGUGGAAAGGAGGGUGAUGAGAUUAUAUAAUCCCAGUGAGUAAACAAAUAUCAUCUAAAAUAUCUAAAACUGAGUAAAUGGAGACAGAUAAAAUAGAUCAUCAUAAGAUGGUUCAUAACCUCAAAACACAUUUCAAAUCAUCUAAACUAGUUACAUUUCAUCGAAAAUAAACGACGAGGCUUAUGAUUUCCUGAAAAGCUUGACUCGUGCCAAAAUCAUUCUCAUACUCGGUUGUCAGGGAUACCUUGGCUUGGGGCUAUCCUAACCGAAUCCGCCAAGGCUGUUAAAAAGUCAUGUAUGCAUAAAUUAUGUUUUUAUUUUGAAAACAUAGUCGUUCUUUGGCAUUGACUGAGUUCACCCUCACGUGGUGGUUUGACGUGAAGUGAACUAUAAAGUUUUACCUCAGGAGUUACCCUAUGCGCCUCCUCAACCGAGGUAAGAAUAUACCUGGAUUCCGUACCCCUCAAAAAGGCUGGUCCAUAGAACCCGCCACUGCCGUGACCAAUCUAUAACCUACCAAUUCAAUAAAAAUUCAAUAGCAUGACAUGGCAACUUUUAUCAUUAUCCAGCCUAUCAAGGCAAACAAUAGUUUAUACAUUUUCAACACAAAUACCCAUCCAGCCAUUCAUGCCCAUAUUAUCAUAAGCCAUUCAAUUCAAAACAUAAUUUGCAAUACAGCAAGUAGUCUCCAAUUACUCCAUUUUCAAGUCAUCAUUCAAUUUCAAGACAAUUUAUAAAAUCAUUUUAUUUAAACACAUUUUCCAUAAAAUUACAAAAUCGGAUAAAAAUAUACUUUAGAUAAUUAAGAAGAUGAUAAGAUUACUCACAGUAAUGGGAAUCGAAUUCGGGACACUCUGAUUCUUGAUCCUCGGAUACUACCUCUUUACUCUUGCCAGAAUGCUCACCACCUAAACAUAAUGCACAAUAAGCAAUUUGCUAUAUUUGUGCUAAACCGUUGUAAAACCAUUUCAGGCUCUAUACUAAUGCAUGAAAUGAGAUAUGAAAUACUCGGGUAACUAUCUAAAUACGAUGUUCAGUACAAAUUCAAUUAUGUACCUAAAUAAAAUGGUAUUAGCCUAAUUCGAUCUAUCACCCGAUUAAUUGGCCAAUACGUCCAAUUCAACUCCAAACAAUUUCAUUUCUCUCCCAAUACUCCAAAUCAUUAAACACAAUUUAAAUAACUUGAAAUGUGGCAAAAUCAUCCUCACAUUUUCUCUUGAAAAAUUUGGCUAUGGUGAGUGCACUAACAAUAUAAAUUUUUUUUAUGCUUGAUUCUCACACCAUAAAUCAUUCAUUCAUAAUCAAAUCACUUAAAUUCAAUCAAAUUCAUCAUCAAUAUUCCACAUGGAAUAUUCGGCCAAUGAAGGUGAUGUAAGAACAUGAAUUUUUCUUGCUUGCUUUUCAUACUACACAUCACCAAACAACUAAAAACACUCGAAUAACAUGUUUUCUAACUAAAUUCAUCAUCAAAUUCUCUCUCCUAAGGUUUGAUCAGCACACUAUCCUUCAUGAUAUCUUGUGAUUCAACCAUGAAAAAUGCAAAAUAAUGCAUAGAAAAGGCAGAUCACAAGCUAGAAUUAAGAAAUUUCACCUUUGAUGGCUUGAUUCCUUGAAAUUUGGUGAAUUUCUCUUGAAUUUCUUAGCUAGGGUUUUGUUCUUCUUCUUUUCUUCCCUUUUCUUCCUUUGGCCGACCAAGAGAAAUGAGUUGGGAGGGUUUAUGUGCUGAUUUCUAAAGCCAAUUAUAAAUGGAUGAAAAUUUGACACAUGUCACCAUUUCAUUGGCCCAUGU
rnacentral:lncRNA from 1 species